rnacentral:lncRNA from 1 species
UAAUCAGAUGUUUAAAAUAGAACCACCAUGUGAGAACCUUUGAUUAUAGAAAAAGCCUGAGGCUGAAAGUCCCACUUCUGUUAGAGAUUCUAUUGGACUUUAACUCAUUUUCCCCCAGUCUUAAAAAAAAAAAAAAAAGGCAUAAUUUUUAAAGGCAGAACAGUUCAGGCAGACUGACCCUUGAGCGCAUUCCAUUUUGAUUUCAGAUGCACAUGUGGAUUGAGGACCAGUUUGCUCUGCCUUUGAAAGGCAGUAUUUGAAGUCAUCUGCACAAUCUCACACCCAGCCAGAGGUGUCAUGACUUGGCGAAUGAUUUCCUAUUAAAACACAGGUUCGCGUUGGUCAAUACAAGGGAGCCAGAGGACAGCUUGCUCUGAUGGGGAGGGUCACAGUCCACAGAGAGCAACUUGUUGAAAGAUCCAGGGCUGAGGGAGGUCUAGCACAUCUCAGGGCUUCCUGCCGUGGGCAAAGAUGAGCUGAAUGGAAUGAAAGGAACAUGGGAGGGGAAGCCCAGCUGGCAGGAAGAGAAGAAAGGAAUAAAUAACCGAAGAUGAGAGCAGCAAAGCAUAUGUGAUGUCAGCUGCAGUUUUUUCCAUUUCCAUCUUAGGUUGUGUAAUUCAGGGGCUCCCAAAGUGGAAGAGCCAUAAUCCAGAACAACCAAUCCUGAAUUAUUAAUGGUUAGAAUUUAUAUGUUUCCUAGAUUACCCCAGCCACAAACAACUAAAAGCUUUCACGGCAAGAAACCUUGCUUAGUCAUUAAGAAUAAGCAGGUGGAAAUAGUCUCUCCAGUUUGGACAAAGGAGAAGGAUGGGAGCAUUUCUCUUAUAAGUUUUAAAACAUAUUAAAAGGAUGCAAUGGCUUAGAAGUAUUUUAACUGACUCCAAAGCUACAGACAAAAUAAUGGAAUAAGACAUCAGACCUAGAGACAAAGGCUAGCCUCUGACAAAUAUGAUACAAAAUCAGAAGGAAGUAGCAUUUUUCAAUAUGAUUGAAUAAUUGUGUAAAUAUUCGGGAGAAAUAGUAAAGCUUUAAAUAACCUCACAUACCAAAAUUUAUUUCAGGAAGAUUAAAUAGUUAUUUAAAAAAUGGAAUAAUGAACAGUUAAAUUCAUAUCGCCAUAUGUAUAUGAGGCCAUGUUUUAUUGCCCUGAAAAUGGCAUUUUAAUGAUAAUUAUUGGUAGAGGAAUAUGUUGUGUGACUCAGUUUUUAGUUGGAAAAAAAACAAAACAGAAAACACUCUAGCUAAAGUACGAAGGGAAUUUCCUAAAGGCUAUCAAUCGUGGAAUCUCUAGGAGAGUCGGAUUAUCAUCACUAGAGGCCCUGCAGCCAAGUGCCUGAUUCCUCGUGUCAUUAGUACAGACACAAUCUCCCCAAACGUGAGACCAGAAGAUUUUCACUUAGAUUCUGACAGUGGGUUCUAACACUGAGCCACUAUCAUGGCACCUCCUGAAAGCUCCAGACCUCUUGGUCAGGCUAUGCCAAGAAAUAGAUUCCACCUGGAGUCUUUCUUUGUGCUCCCCCUUUCCCAGUGGAAGUACACCAUCAGAUGUAUGUCAUUGACAGAGCCUGGGUCACCGCAGCCAUGACCUAGGCUGGAAAACUGAGUUGGCUUCUACCUCAGAGUAGUAGGAUUCAUGACGUAGUGAUUGAUUACUUCUCAAUAGUUACGAUAUUGAGAAGAUCCCAAUGGCAGUAAAUAUGACAUGCCUUCCCACAUGCUCAUGAUAUAAAUAAUACUUGCAGAAGCUUCAUAUAUGCUAUGAAAUCCAUUUUGGCCAGCCAAUUAUAUAUGCAUGCAGAGAAAUAAGACUAAAGAAUAAAGCCCCAAAUAAUAAUGUUGGAUGUAGGAGAGGCAUUGGUAUAUUGGUGUAUUAUUUUUGGCUGUACCUCUGGCAUAUGGAAUUUCCUGGGCCAGGGAUCAAAUCGGAGCUGUAGCUGCAACCUGCACCACAGCUGUGGCAAUGCCUGAUCCGUAACCCACUGUGCUACAGCAGGAAAACCAGUAUAUUUUUUUAUAUUGUGUUCGUAUGGCUGUGUUUUCUAAAUUCUUCAUAAAUUAAUAUAUAGGUAUUAUCCAAAAACUAGAAGUUAGGUAUGUCAGGAUGGCUGAGUGGUCUAAGAUACCAGACUCAAACAGGAGUUGAUACCUACAAAAUGAUUCUGUAGCAGUGUAACACAAAGCCUGAUUUGGAGUUAAAAGGAAUAGUGGAAGGUUUAAAACUAAAGUCCCUCUGUUUUCAUAUGAGAAAAUGGGAUAAGCUAGGAUGAAGAGGCCCUUACCAGGUCAAACUCUUGGAAGAUAGGCCAGGCCAGAAAUCCAUAUUUAUCACACUUGAAGAGGGAUUUUUCCACCUCAUCUUGGGUAUUUAUAUUUUAUCUAUGAUAAUUGGGCAAAUGAUAAAGGAUAUUUGUUUUAUACUUUGUAGUGAAUGGAUAUAUAAUGCUCACUACAUGAGAAUUUCCAGUUUUGGGGGGAUUUAUCACAGGGGUCCCUAUUAGGUCAUGAAGGGAAUGCAGGAUCAGCUCUCCCAGUCUCUCUGUCUUGUCAGUAUGAGCCACUUUUGAUUCCCUCUUGUAUUCAGUUUUCCCAUUUCGGGUGUAAACUCAAAACACUAAUGCCUCUUCGAAAAGCCUUCCGAGACAAGUUCAUGAAAAGAAUCAUGAGUAUGGCACUGCUCCAAAUCAGGAUGCUUACUUGCUUGGAAAGAUAGGAUUAAUUUACAGAGUGAAUUGCAUAGAAAGAACAUCUCAAAUUUUGAGUUGCCAAAUAUAUCAAAAUUGCCACAUCUAGGAGAGAGAAAUCUUUUUCUAAAAGCAAUGUUUGGGGGAGUUAAAGGAGAUGAACAAGACAGUCUCCCUCUUCUGUGUGAUAAUUAGUUUCCUAAUGGCUGGGGCCAGAGUCACUUUGCUAUUCCCAGUAGGAGCCCAGUGUCUAAACUGUAAUGGGGCUCAGUGCAAGCUGAUUCCGUGAAGACACAGAUGUAAGUUGUCUUUAUAUUUCAUCUUUAUAAUAAUUAUGACCUCUGAUCUCACGCUUGGUAUUUGCCAGGUAUUGUGUGAGGUCUUUUACACAUCUUCUUUCUGUCUUGAAUACUUUUUGGAACAAAACUUGGAGAUUGACUUGAAGCUUACAGCACAUCUGCUCAGUCCACAAUGACUCUCCAUCUGGAAAGUCCACCCCCAACCUGAUCUACAGUCCCUUCAGUGGUGUACUUUUGUAAAACAGGAGCUUGUCUUCUGGUCACUGCACAUUGAACCAGGAUGGAUAACUUACUGAAACUGGGGCGUUUUGAUUUUCUCUCCCAUGAAUUUGCAAAUGAAGUUAAGACUUGAGACAGUUAAUAAAUCUCUGGAGGUGGCUAGAAGAGGAGCAAGCAAACUCCUGAAUUGUGAAUCUCAAGAAAAAGCGAGUGGUGUGUGAGGCAGUACAGAGAAAGGGAACAGAUCAAAAGUAAAGUCUCCACGUUUAUUCCCAGUAUCUAUUGUUACUUAAGACUCAGCUUCAAAUCCCUGAAUUCUAAAGCUCUCCUCUCUUUGCUUAAACUAAUCAGAAUUGGUUUUUGAAAGUGAGAAUCUAGGCUCUUGGCUUUUAUGAGGUAUAAAUAAACUACAUCCAUCCAUCCAUCAAAACAUGUUAUCUCCUCAUCUCACAACACAUCCAAGAGUGGGUAUCAUCAUCUCCAUCUUAGAGGUGACUACACAGGCUCAAAGAGUGAAAGCAAUGUUCUCAAGGCCAUCUUCUUAGAUUUGUUAGAGCUGGUUAUUUGAUCCGAGGCUGGGAUAGCAUAAAAUCCUAUGAUCGGCCUAGUCUCUGUAUGACGCCUCAUCUAGAUGUAUUCCUUCUUUUCACAUGCAUUUAUGGAGAUCCAGUGAAGUCCCAGGCACUAUGUUUCUACGGUUUCAUCAGGGUUGCCGAGUAGUUGUAGAUAUUUACAUGGUGUUGCAUCCAUGUAGGUGGCCAAAGGCUGGAUGCUCAGCUCGAAGUUAAGGAAUAAUCUCUGAAACUUGUUAUUCAUAUAAUAUGCUUGUAGUACGGAUAAAAUUCAGGACAGAUCACCUUGCAAAAGACGUAGAGGUGUCGGAGGCUUUGGUAUUACUCACAUCUUUGAGUAUUAAGCACUUACUGAGCUACUGUAUAUAUUUUAACUGGAUGAGAUGCCACCUGGUAUAACUUUUGUUCAAACAGAAUAUGGCUGGGAUUGUCAGUGGACUGGUAAUGAGCACCUGUUUUUAGAGGGUUUUUUAAAAAAUGGUCUCCUGAAGGAGAUUUGAUAAGUUGAUGGUCCAAUAACUUCUCAAACUUCCUAUUAAACCCAGUGAAGGCAUAUGAUUUUCUCAAGGUCACAGCUAGUUGCAGAGACGAGGCUUGCCAGCUAAGAAUACACUGCCAACAGAACUCAUUGUAAGUAAUAUAUAUUAUAUUUCUUCUUAUUCCUUCAAAUAACAACACAUGUCAAUUAGAUUCAUGUCAGAGCCAUUACGUAUUCUACCCCCUCAAUCUGUCUUUCUCCGAAUUAAUGAAAUGUAAAAUGGGAAAAUUACAGGUUUUUAUAGUUAGAAUCUAUAGUGCUUAGCGUGCAGUAUAAAAGUCCCUAUAUUAAUUAUGUUCAUUCUGGUUUAUUAUAUAACUCUAACUCUUGUAUUAGGACUUAAAAUUUCCCUAAAUGCCAUGAAUUUUUAAAAACUACAAUCAUUAAUGUCAUUCUCAAAUGUGAUUAUAUUCUUUAAAAAUGACAAUGCACCCAGGCUUUUAGAAAACAUGCCUUCUAUCUUGUGUAACAUACACAUAAAAUCUAUAAACAAUACGGUUGAUAACUGUGGAAAUGGAAAUUAUUCAUGUUUUCUAAUCCCAAGAGAACAUCUGUGUAUUAUAAUAAUUUAAUAAUAAUGACCGCAUCAACAUCAAUGAUUAUUUAUAGAAUACCUAUUGUGAGCAAGUAAUGGUUACUGAAUGCUCUAUGUGCAUUUGCUGUAUCUUCAUCAUCAACUGUUCACCUGUCGGUAGCCCUAUUAGUGCCCCAUUUAGCAGAUGGGGAAAAUGAGGCACAGAGAUUACCCCAUGAUUUGCUCCAGUAUUUCUCAGCUGCUUUCUGGAUAAGGUCUGUCCUAUCCUUGGUCUUUAAAUGCAGUCUCUCUCUCUCCUGACUUAGCUCCAGUGCUACUUGGCUUAGAUUGUUUUCUCCUUUUUUCCAGAUGAACCCCUAUUGAAACGUUGCAUAAAAAAAUACAUGCCCUCUUAUAAUAUUUCUUCUAACAAACUUAUUUCUUCAUUCACAUUUCCCUGCCCCCCUUUUUUCCCCCAUAAAUCUGAGGCUCUAAUUUGGAACAUCAUGGAUCCCCUGACCAACCCAAAGCACAAUUUUUAUUUACUAAGUCAUGAAUCCCUGUGAUGUUGGACCCUCGUAGUGAUCCUCCCUUCUUAAAACGUUUCCUCCCUGAACUUUCAAAGCACCAUCCUGACAGCAUCUUCUCUUGAUUUUCCAGUCAUUCCAGAUCAGUCUGCAUUAUAUUUCCCUCUCUGUGUGUGCCUAUUAAAU